rnacentral:rRNA from 1 species
UACGUAGGGGGCAAGCGUUGUCCGGAAUCAUUGGGCGUAAAGCGCGUGUAGGCGGCUCGGUAAGUCUGCUGUGAAAGUCCAGGGCUCAACCCUGGGAUGCCGGUGGAUACUGUCGAGCUCGAGUCCGGAAGAGGCGAGUGGAAUUCCUGGUGUAGCGGUGAAAUGCGCAGAUAUCAGGAGGAACACCGAUGGCGAAGGCAGCUCGCUGGGACGGUACUGACGCUGAGACGCGAAAGCGUGGGGAGCAAACAGG